rnacentral:ncRNA from 1 species
CGGGGAAAAGCAGGCUCCCCGUCAGACGGUCGAACCGUUCAAGCUCUGC